GGCAGUAUGCUGGUGCAGUGGGAAGCACAUUUGCUUCACAGCAGGAAGGUUGCUGGUUCAAAUCCAGCCUGGGGCCU